rnacentral:rRNA from 1 species
UACGAACUGUGCAAACGUUAUUCGGAAUCACUGGGCUUACAGGGUGCGUAGGCGGCUUGUUAAGUAGGGUGUGAAAGCCCUCGGCUCAACCGGGGAAUUGCGCCCUAAACUGGCGAGCUGGAGUGAGAUAGGGGUGUGUGGAACUUCCGGUGGAGCGGUGAAAUGUGUUGAUAUCGGAAGGAACGCCGGUGGCGAAAGCGACACACUGGAUCUUGUCUGACGCUGAGGCACGAAAGCCAGGGGAGCGAACGGG